CCAGCUGCAUUCCCAGCAGCCAGUAGCCACAUGCGGCCAGCAGGCUUGUAUUGGCUAGCACAGCCCCAGCCUUUAGCAAACAGGGAAAUGUAAUAUUCAACAUGCACAGCUGCUCUUAGUAAGAGAAAUCCUUCUAGACUGUAUAAAGCCCUUCCCUUUGUCAUCCCUGGGCAAUUUUUACUACAGCAAACCCAAAAGGUGAAGAAGUGCUUACUUUUUGGUAAGAGGAUUUUGAAGAGCCUCCUUGGGGAGAUUUCGAUG
rnacentral:lncRNA from 1 species